GUGUACACACACACACACACACACACAUCCUGCUGGUGUGAGUCGGACACCAUGGAGAGUUAUGAUGGUAUAAUGAUUACAUUGAGUCAACAGUCAACAUGAUCUAACAGCCCAGCAUAGCAACACCACAACACGAGAGGUGUUCAAUACAGAGGGCCGGGGGGAGAGAGAGAGAGACAACAAAUACACACAUGACUUAUUCACCUCUCACUAGAAUACGCUACGUGUUUGGAACUAUGGCAGUGAUGUUGAUACAGACUACACUACUCACAACCACAAGGCCCGGCAGAGAGCCAGAGAAACACAGGUCAGUGAAGGCUGUUUGCGGGGGAAUGUCUGUUCCACUGCAGGCUCGCAUCCGUGACUUCCUCUGCAGCUCAGUCUUUAGACACACAGAGACAUGGGGCAGAGAGCUCAGCAGAGCCGCUCUGCCUGCCAGACCUCAAACUGCAGCCUGCAGCUGCACUGACCAGCACUGGGCUGGGGGAGGGAUGGAGGGAGAGGAGAGCCGAAUGGGAGAGUGAAGAUGUGAGGAGAGGAGAGCAGAAUGGGAGAGUGAAGAUGUGAGGAGAGCAGAAUGGGAGAGUGAAGAUGUGAGGAGGAGAGAGCAGUGCACAAGAAAGAGAGGGAGGAAGCGAAUGGGAGGACAGAUGGAGAGAAUUAUUAUCCUCCCCCCUCCUCCUCUUCCUCCUGCCCCCUCUGACUCCCUCGCUCCCGAUGGACAGCACAGGAUGCUCCACCUCCUUCCGGAUUUCAACCAAUCACUGGCUGAGGCUCGUAAAGCUCGCUACAUCCAUCACCGAGGUCUUUCCCCCUGCGAGAGGGAGCUGUCAAUCACUGACAUAUUUACCAGAGGCAAUAUGGGUUCCAACCACAGAUUCUGAAAGCAACCCUGUUAGACUUAAAAACAUUCCUGUGAGUGUGACCUACUGACUAGGUUUGCUUUAACCUAAGACCUUUGCACACCACAGGAAUGUGUCGAGUGGGGUUCCCAAAGUUUUUCUGCACAUGACCCCAAAUUUACACUAGAAAAUGCAUGGGACCCCACUUUGGAAAAUAAUAGGCCUAACAGUUAACACUAUGUGUUUACAUUCACUAAAUGUUAGGUCCCAAAGGCUGUCCCAACAUGAUAAUGACAUGAAAGCACAUUUGUAUAAAAGGCCCUUAGUUGACACUGUACACAUUUUGAAGAGAAAGAGUUGUUAAUUUCUUUGAUAAGCUUACAGAUUUUCUCAGGGGACCCCAUUUCAAUUUCAGGGGACCCCACCCCAAGUUUGGAAAACACUGUGUUAGCCAAUUAAGUAAAAACCUUAAUAUUUGCUCGGGGAGCUUCAGUUCUCAGGCAGUUCUCACUUCCGUUACAUUUAUGGACACCUCUAUAAACAUUAGAUCAGUGGAGGCUGCUGAUGGGAGAACCCAUAAUAAUGGCCGGAACAGAGCAAAUGGAAUGGCAUCAAACACCUGGAAACUGUUUGUUUGAUACGUUCGAUACCAUUCCACCUAUUCCGCUCCAGUCAUUAUCACGAGCCCGUUCUCCCCAAUUAAGGUGCCACUAACCACCUGUGCAUUAGAUCCAUUCCAACCUACUAUGUCCGGACAACGUGAAGCCAUACUCAACAAGGCCUUGGUCUGUCAUACACCUGUUUCGUGCCAAACUGACAGUGCAUCUUGUUCAAUGAGCCAUAUUUCUAUCCAUGAAUGUACCAUUUGAGCAGGGACAGUUUACCACAUUUGGGGCCUCGUGCACUGACCUACGUCAGCUAACUUACUGCAUUUCAACACAUUUGGCUAUGGAGCAGAGAGAAAAUGUGCAGUUUUAUAAUGCUAUUCUACACAUUUCAUCAUGAGGCCAAGGGGAAAAUGUUGUAGUUCAAAGCAAAUUUCCAGUAAUUCUACACUUUUUGCCAUCUCAUGCUUUUGUUCACAUUUGGCCAUAGGGCUGAGAGAACAUUUUCCAGUUUUAAAGCUAAUUUCCUGCAAAUGCAGGGGUGGGGGUUGGUGCUCCCUGGAAGUCAGGGGAGGCACUUACCCUGUGUGCCAGUUCGAUAAUCCAGCCCUGCAUUUCAAAUCAAAUCAAAUUUUAUUUGUGACAUGCGCCGAAUACAACAGAUGUAGACUUUAAUGUGGAAUGCUGACUUACAAGCCCUUAACCAACAGUGCAGUUGAAGAAGAAGAAAAUAUUUACCAAGUAGACUAAAAUAAAAAGUAAUAAAAAAGUAACACAAUAAGAAUAACAAUAAGGAGGCUAUAUACAGGAGGCACCGGUACCGAGUCAGUUUACUGGGGUACAGGCUAGUUGAGGUAAUCUGUACAUGUAGGUGGGGGUGAAGUGACUAUGCAUAGGUAACAAACAAAUAGCGAGUAGCAGCAGUGUACAAAAGGGAGGGGGGGUCAAUGUAUAUUGUCUGGCGGAGAUUUUAUGGAUUUUUCAGCAGUCUUGUGGCUUGGGGGUAGAAGCUGUUAAGGCGCCUUUUGGUCCUAGACUUGGUGCUCCUGUACUGCUUGCCGUGCGGUAGCAGAGAAAACAGUCUAUAUACUUGGGUGACUGGAGUCUCUGACAAUUUUAUGGGCUUUCCUCACACACUGCCUAUUAUAUAGGUCCUGGAUGGCAGGAAGCUUGGCCCCAGUGAUGUAUUGGGGUUACUAUCCUCUGUAGAUCCUUACGGUCAGAGGCCGAGCAAUUGCCAUACCAUGUGGUGAUGCAACCGGUCAGGAUGCUCUCUGGUGCAGCUGUAGAAUCUUUUGAGAAUCUGGGGACCCAUGCUUAAUCUUUUCAGUCUCCUGAGGGGGAGAAAGGUUUUGUCAUGCCCUCUUCACAACUGUCUUGGUAUGUUUGGACCAUGAUAAUUUGUUGGUGAUGUGGACACCAAGGAACUUGAAACUCUCAACCCGCUCCUCUACAGCCCAGUCAAUGUUAAUGGGGGCCUGGUUGGCCCGCCUUUUCCUGUAGUCCACGAUCAGCUCCUUUGUCUUGCUCACAUUGAGGUAGAGGUUGAUGUCCUGGCAUCACACUGCCAGUUCUCUGACCUCCCAUUUGAGACCUGCUCAAUGUAAAGGUCCAUAAUAUAUUUUGUGCUAAAUCAUUUAUCUGAUUGAAAUUCUCAAUGCAUGUAAAGUAUAAUGUAUAAAAUCAUUGGCUCAUGAAUCAUGAUUAAUUGUAAUAAAACAGAGGCCAAGAGAUAAAGGUUGCAUCAGUGCCUCAGGCAAGAGUGUGUGAGGAGAACGUCCCCUGGCGACUACUUUAGAUAUUGCUUAACAUUUGCAUUCCAAUUAUUGACCAUAAAUACGUAUGAGAAUAUGUACGCCUAUUUAGUAUCGCAAUGUUAGGAUGUUUUUUAAAAUGUACUUAUUUAACUAGUGAAGGGACAGGGGGAUACCUAGUCAGUUGUACAACUGAAUAUCUUCAACUGAAAUGUGUCUUCUGUAUUUAACCCAACCCCUCUGAAUCAGAGAGGUGUGGGGGCUGCCUUAACCGAUAUCCACAUCUUCGGCGCACCGGGAACAGUGGGUUAACUGCCUUGCUCAGGGGCAGAACGACAUAUUUUUUUAAACUUUCGGUUACUGGCCCAAUGCUCUAACCACUAGAACAAAUUCUUAUUUACAAUGAUGGCCUACCGAUAAUUUAAAAAAAAACAUGUUCUGUGGUAUUAUUAAUAAACUAUGAAAUCUAUUGGCUCAAGCCAUGGGCAGCUAAGGAUGUAUGCUUAGUCAGUAUGUAACCAAGCCGAUGAUCCCACUAUGAAAAGAGAGAACACUAAAACAGGUUCAAGUACGUUUACGGAUGCUUAAAUGAACUCGGAAAUGAAAAUGCAUCCGUUCCGUUCCCAAAAACGUCAAGCACAGUAAACCUGGAAUAGAACAAAGUUGGCCUUAGACAUACUGAUAUAAACUAGGUUUUGCGUCCCCCCUUGGCUUAACUAAGGAUUUGGGAUGUAGCUGAUCCUAGAUCGGUUCUUACAUCCCUCGGGCAACUUAUACCUGGAGCUGAAACUAAAAAGCAAGUCAAUUGGUUGUAGCCUACUUCCGUGUUUUCUUUUAAACGAAGUAGCUCCAUACACACAA
ensembl:lncRNA